rnacentral:rRNA from 1 species
CCUACGGGGGGCAGCAGUGGGGAAUAUUGCACAAUGGGGGAAACCCUGAUGCAGCGACGCCGCGUGAGUGAAGAAGUAUUUCGGUAUGUAAAGCUCUAUCAGCAGGGAAGAAAGGUGCCCCUUGGGCGCCUGGACGGUACCUGACUAAGAAGCCCCGGCUAACUACGUGCCAGCAGCCGCGGUAAUACGUAGGGGGCAAGCGUUAUCCGGAUUUACUGGGUGUAAAGGGAGCGUAGACGGCAGAGCAAGUCCGGAGUGAAAGCCCGGGGCCCAACCCCGGGACUGCUCUGGAAACUGUUAAGCUG